UCCAAAAUGUAGAAAAACUAGAAAUUAAUGAAAAAAACAAGAAACUUUAUUUACAUAUUUGCAUCUGUAAAUUUACUUGAACAAAAUGUUUUUCUCUCUCUCUGGCUCAGCUCUUUGUUUGUCUUUUGAUUUUUCCUUCUUCUAAUCAAAUGCUUAAGUCAAAUCAAAUUUGAUGAAACUCAAAGCGAAAAUUACUGGAGGAGCUUACACCAGAAUGAUUUUUGCUCCAACUAUGUUAAAUCAGAUUUUUCUUUCUCCAUUUUUCUUUAGUUCGACCUAGGAUCUAAGAAAUUAGAGGAGAUCGAGAAGAAGGAUAAGAUACUUCUGAAGAAGGUUUCCGAGGAGGUUGAAAAGGCCAAAGAGUUUACAAAACAAGAGAGGUAUGGAUGAGUUAUUUGCGGUUAUGAAGCGUGAACUUUGUAAUACAUAUUACUAAACUGCUUACGAGUACAUUUUAUACUGAUUUUUUACAUUACUCAGCAGGGACAGAACUAAGAUUUUCGUUAAGAGAAUUCAAAAUAUUAAGAAGUAAACACAUAAAGAAGCUAUAAGGGAAUUCUAAAUCUUCUGUAGAUAUAUAAAAAGUAAUUUUAACCUUGUA